UGUUAGUAAUUGUGUAAUGAUUAAUUGGCGUUAUGUCUCUCGUGUCUGCAUGGUCUGGUGACUAUCUUCAGGUGUUCCCCUGCGUAUUUAGUUCCCUCUGUUGGCUGGCUUUGUUUUUCUAUCCUGUUUUGUGUUAGCUUCUCGUGCCUCUAGUACUGUUGAGAAUUUACCUGUGUUUGCCUCUUGUGCUACCUGCGUUUUGGCCUCCUGUUUUCUCCCGUGCUUUUACCUCCUGCAUUUUGCGUAUUUUUGCAAGCCUUUGGGUAAAGGUCUUUUUUGAAUAUCAUCUGAGCCUUAUCUGCACUUGGAUCUAAGCCAAACAUCUCCUGGUGACAAUUCUGCACAAAGUCAAAUCUAAAUUCACCCUGCUUUGGCCUAGUGCUGGGCCUUAUUUGCUUCCUAAACAAGCUGACAAACCUCCGCCGCCUGAAAGAUCGCGGGCCGUGCCGGCACAAAGGGGCCCGCGAUGUAGAGAUUAGGAACAAUGCCUUCGCCACGGACUGCCCCCUCCCUGUUCCCGGUGAAGGCUUUUCAUGCCAGCGCCCCGACCCGCCCGUCUCCGUCAGGUGGGGUGCCGAGGGACACGGAGAUAGACGCCGCUGUUUUCGUCUGUCUGACCGCCAGCACAAAGGGUCGCUCAGAAUGUGAUCCCGCGUGGCAGCGUUAUGAAUAUUAAAUACAAAAAACUGCCACUGGCGCCGAGGAACGUCUGCUCCCCCCGUCCCGUAGCCCUGGAUAAACUCUCGUGCUGUUACAGCGCGUGCCAAACUGUGCCUCGGUACCCGGUGAUCUUUCUCUACAAUGCCCAACACAGAAAUGAAAACGGGAAAAAAUUUUUUAAUGCUGUAUGGUUUCUUGCUUUUUGUCUGAGUUACAAUGAAUUACAAAUCGUGUAAUCUUACAGUUUUAACCUAGCGGUUUAGUUUUUAGUCAAAUUUAAAAA